rnacentral:rRNA from 1 species
GCGCAAGCAGAGAGGAAGGAGGGGAUGACGUCAAGUCAUCAUGGCCCUUACGCCCAGGGCUACACACGUGCUACAAUGGNNNCUACAAAGUGUUGCCAGUCAGUGAUGACGAGCCAAUCACAAAAAGGACGNCUCAGUUCGGAUUGCAGGCUGCAACUCGCCUGCAUGAAGUUGGAAUCGNNAGUAAUCGCGCAUCAGCAAUGGCGCGGUGAAUACGUUCCCGGACCUUGUACACACCGCCCGUCAAGCCAUGGAAGUUGGGAGGACCUGAAGCCAGUUGCUGUGAGGCGCUGUUUAGGGUUAAACCAAUGACUGGGGUNAAGUCGUAACAAGGUAAC